UUGAGUUUGAUUAUAUAUCAUGUGCUAACCCUUGUUUUGUAGGUGGACUCAUGUGACUUGAGUCUUGUGCUAUGCACCUUGGUCCCUCUGUGUGGACUGUUUAUCCAUUCCUUUUGAUUUAGACUGUUGAACUGUUUACUAAUUGGUUUGACUUUUUUCAGGUACUUUAGUUGCUUAAGUUCUUUGAACUUGCUUGCUUUGCUAUUUAGCAUUUGCUUUGAGGUAUAAUUACUUCUUCUCCAUGUAGUCUGGAG
rnacentral:lncRNA from 1 species